rnacentral:rRNA from 1 species
AGAGUUUGAUCCUGGCUCAGGACGAACGCUGGCGGCGUGCUUAACACAUGCAAGUCGAACGGAAAGGCCCAGCUUGCUGGGUGCUCGAGUGGCGAACGGGUGAGUAACACGUGGGUGAUCUGCCCCUGACUUCGGGAUAAGCUUGGGAAAGGGGGUCUAAUACCGGAUAGGACAAUCGUUUAGUGUCGGUUGUGGAAAGUUUUUUCGGUUAGGGAUGAGCCCGCGGCCUAUCAGCUUGUUGGUGGGGUAAUGGCCUACCAAGGCGUCGACGGGUAGCCGGCCUGAGAGGGUGGACGGCCACAUUGGGACUGAGAUACGGCCCAGACUCCUACGGGAGGCAGCAGUGGGGAAUAUUGCACAAUGGGCGCAAGCCUGAUGCAGCGACGCCGCGUGGGGGAUGACGGCCUUCGGGUUGUAAACCUCUUUCGACAGGGACGAAGCUUUUGUGACGGUACCUGUAUAAGAAGCACCGGCUAACUACGUGCCAGCAGCCGCGGUAAUACGUAGGGUGCGAGCGUUGUCCGGAAUUACUGGGCGUAAAGAGCUCGUAGGUGGUUUGUCGCGUCGUCUGUGAAAUUCCGGGGCUUAACUUCGGGCGUGCAGGCGAUACGGGCAUAACUUGAGUGCUGUAGGGGAGACUGGAAUUCCUGGUGUAGCGGUGGAAUGCGCAGAUAUCAGGAGGAACACCGAUGGCGAAGGCAGGUCUCUGGGCAGUAACUGACGCUGAGGAGCGAAAGCAUGGGGAGCGAACAGGAUUAGAUACCCUGGUAGUCCAUGCUGUAAACGAUGUGUGCUAGAUGUUGGGUAACUUAGU